rnacentral:rRNA from 1 species
GAAUUUUGGACAAUGGGGGCAACCCUGAUCCAGCCAUCCCGCGUGUGCGAUGAAGGCCUUCGGGUUGUAAAGCACUUUUGGCAGGGAAGAAAAGGCUCUGGCUAAUACCCGGAGCUGCUGACGGUACCUGCAGAAUAAGCACCGGCGCACGACGUGCCAGCAGCCACGGUAAUACGUAGGGUGCAAGCGUUAAUCGGAAUUACUGGGGGUAAAGGGUGCGCAGGGGGUGCGGCAAGAAGGGUGUGAAAUCCCAGGGCUUAACCUUGGAACUGCAUUCUUAACUGCCGGGCUAGAGUAUGUCAGAGGGGGGUAGAAUUCCGCGUGUAGCAGUGAAAUGCGUAGAGAUGCGGAGGAAUACCGAUGGCGAAGGCAGCCCCCUGGGAUAAUACUGACGCUCAUGCACGAAAGCGUGGGGAGCAAAC